AGCUACAGGCUUAACACAUGCAAGUCGAGGGGCAGCAUUUCAGUUUGCUUGCAAACUGGAGAUGGCGACCGGCGCACGGGUGAGUAACACGUAUCCAACCUGCCGAUAACUCGGGGAUAGCCUUUCGAAAGAAAGAUUAAUACCCGAUGGUAUAAUCAGACCGCAUGGUCUUGUUAUUAAAGAAUUUCGGUUAUCGAUGGGGAUGCGUUCCAUUAGGCAGUUGGUGAGGUAACGGCUCACCAAACCUUCGAUGGAUAGGGGUUCUGAGAGGAAGGUCCCCCACAUUGGAACUGAGACACGGUCCAAACUCCUACGGGAGGCAGCAGUGAGGAAUAUUGGUCAAUGGGCGCAGGCCUGAACCAGCCAAGUAGCGUGAAGGAUGACUGCCCUAUGGGUUGUAAACUUCUUUUAUAUGGGAAUAAAGUUUUCCACGUGUGGAAUUUUGUAUGUACCAUAUGAAUAAGGAUCGGCUAACUCCGUGCCAGCAGCCGCGGUAAUACGGAGGAUCCGAGCGUUAUCCGGAUUUAUUGGGUUUAAAGGGAGCGUAGGUGGACAGUUAAGUCAGUUGUGAAAGUUUGCGGCUCAACCGUAAAAUUGCAGUUGAUACUGGCUGUCUUGAGUACAGUAGAGGUGGGCGGAAUUCGUGGUGUAGCGGUGAAAUGCUUAGAUAUCACGAAGAACUCCGAUUGCGAAGGCAGCUCACUGGACUGCAACUGACACUGAUGCUCGAAAGUGUGGGUAUCAAACAGGAUUAGAUACCCUGGUAGUCCACACAGUAAACGAUGAAUACUCGCUGUUUGCGAUAUACAGUAAGCGGCCAAGCGAAAGCAUUAAGUAUUCCACCUGGGGAGUACGCCGGCAACGGUGAAACUCAAAGGAAUUGACGGGGGCCCGCACAAGCGGAGGAACAUGUGGUUUAAUUCGAUGAUACGCGAGGAACCUUACCCGGGCUUAAAUUGCAUUUGAAUAUAUUGGAAACAGUAUAGCCGUAAGGCAAAUGUGAAGGUGCUGCAUGGUUGUCGUCAGCUCGUGCCGUGAGGUGUCGGCUUAAGUGCCAUAACGAGCGCAACCCUUAUCUUUAGUUACUAACAGGUCAUGCUGAGGACUCUAGAGAGACUGCCGUCGUAAGAUGUGAGGAAGGUGGGGAUGACGUCAAAUCAGCACGGCCCUUACGUCCGGGGCUACACACGUGUUACAAUGGGGGGUACAGAAGGCAGCUACCUGGUGACAGGAUGCUAAUCCCAAAAGCCUCUCUCAGUUCGGAUCGAAGUCUGCAACCCGACUUCGUGAAGCUGGAUUCGCUAGUAAUCGCGCAUCAGCCAUGGCGCGGUGAAUACGUUCCCGGGCCUUGUACACACCGCCCGUCAAGCCAUGAAAGCCGGGGGUACCUGAAGUACGUAACCGCAAGGAGCGUCCUAGGGUAAAACUGGUAAUUGGGGCUAAGUCAUAACA
rnacentral:rRNA from 1 species